rnacentral:rRNA from 1 species
CUACGGGUUGCACCAGUGAGGAAUUUUGCGCAAUGGGGGAAACCCUGACGCAGCAACGCCGCGUGAGUGAUGAAGGCCUUCGGGUCGUAAAGCUCUGUCAAGUGGGAAGAACCUACCUAUGGGUAAUAUUCAUGGGUACUGACGGUACCACUGAAGGAAGCACCGGCUAACUCCGAGCCAGCAGCCGCGGUAAUACGGGGGGUGCAAGCGUUAUUCGGAAUUAUUGGGCGUAAAGGGCGCGUAGGCGGUCUUGUUAGUCAGAUGUGAAAGCCCGGGGCUCAACCCCGGAAGUGCAUUUGAUACUGCAAGACUUGAGUAUGGGAGAGGGAAGUGGAAUUCCUGGUGUAGAGGUGAAAUUCGUAGAUAUCAGGAGGAACAUCUGUGGCGAAGGCGACUUCCUGGACCAAUACUGACGCUGAGGCGCGAAGGCGUGGGUAGCAAACAGGAUUAGAUACCCCAGUAGUC